rnacentral:rRNA from 1 species
GGAUUAGAUACCCUGGUAGUCCACGCCGUAAACGAUGUCGACUAGCCGUUGGAUCCAUUUAAGGGUUUAGUGGCGCAGCUAACGCGAUAAGUCGACCGCCUGGGGAGUACGGCCGCAAGGUUAAAACUCAAAGGAAUUGACGGGGGCCCGCACAAGCGGUGGAGCAUGUGGUUUAAUUCGAUGCAACGCGAAGAACCUUACCAGCCCUUGACAUCCUUGGAACUUGGCAGAGAUGCCUUGGUGCCUUCGGGAGCCAAGUGACAGGUGCUGCAUGGCUGUCGUCAGCUCGUGUUG